rnacentral:rRNA from 1 species
AGGCCUCUAUACAAAGCUAUCGCCGAAGGAGGGGUUUUGCGUCUGAUUAGCUGGUUGGAGGGGUAACGGCCCAACAAGGCGAUGAUCAGUAGCCGGUCUGAGAGGAUGAACGGCCACAUUGGGACUGAGACACGGCCCAGACUCCUACGGGAGGCAGCAGUGGGGAAUCUUCCGCAAUGGACGAAAGUCUGACGGAGCAACGCCGCGUGAGUGAAGAAGGUCUUCGGAUUGUAAAGCUCUGUUAUACGGGACGAAAGAGACGGAUGCCAACAGUAUCCGUCCGUGACGGUACCGUAAGAGAAAGCCACGGCUAACUACGUGCCAGCAGCCGCGGUAAAU